ensembl:lncRNA
GGAGAUUCACAUUCUGGACUUGCAGGUGACUUGUCUGCAAAAACUAUGUGAUGGCACCAUGUCAGUACGGACCAAAUCCCUGAGGAAUGUUUCCACUAUCUUGUUUGAUCUGUGCUAUGAAGAAUUAAAGCAGUUCUGAAGGCAAAAAGUGGUCCACCUCAGUACUAGCCAGGUGUACCUAUUAAAUGACUGGUGAGUGUUUGUUACAGACCAGACCUUUUUAUAGUUCUGGUAUGGUAUAUCUUUACCAUCUUGCUUUAGGGGAUGUAUUACAAAUGAGCCAUUGUAUUGUUUCCUGCAAUGGAGUUUACGCAACCUCUUGCGUAAAUGUGCAUUCUCUGUUGUUUUUCUAUCUUCCACUGAACACAAGCACCUUACUGAAGAGUGGACUAAUGAUGCUAAAUAUAAACUCUAGUAUUAAUUCUCUACAUACUUUUUACAGGAAGUUUCCCUCUGGAGUUAUGGUAUGGUCAUGGUGACAGUAGUGCUUUUCAAGCUUAUCUUCACUGUGAUAACGUUACACAGAACCUUUGCUGACAAGCCGGAUAUUGUGGGGAAAAAAGCAAAAGAAAAAAAAAAGCAGCAAAGAAACCAGGAGAUCAAUGUCCUUUAGGGUAAUAAACAACUUCAGAUUCAGUUAUUUGCAAUUGUCAGUGGAAAAGAUUAAAACACGUUUCCUCACACUGAAUUCUUGUGGUCUAUUUGAAAAUGACUGCUGUCUUCCAGAGGCAAUUGGUAGUAUAGUAUCAGCAAUUUUUGAUAGGUGGUUGGGCACAGAAAGAAUCUAAAGGCCAUGGUUAUCAUCUAUUAUUCAACCAUCAUUUUUUAGCUGCACUUUCUCCUGACUCACAGUGGACCUUUUGAGGGUUUGCCAUGGAAGACUGUUACCUUAUUUGAAAGAACCCUAUAGAUUUUCUUUACAUUUCUGAACAUUUUAUAUAAAAAAGAAAAAAAUACUGCAUUAUGCUUGAGUAAAUGAAACGCAGACUACUUAAACACAACACCAGCAAUCACUGGGUCUGGUUAAAACAUCCAAAAAAAAAGAGAAAAAGACUCUAUGCAGGGAAAAGUCUGUGAAGCAUGCUGGCCAUUUUGACUGGUCCGUUGGACCAAAAUACAGCGGGGAAAAUAAGUAUUUGACACAUCAGCAUUUUUAUCAGUAAGGGGAUUUCCAAGUAGACCAUUGACACAACAUUUCCACCAGAUGUUGCCAUCAAGCCAAAUAUUGACGUCAUACAAACAAAUCAGAACAUAUAAGUAUACAAGUUAAACCACAAUAAAUAAAGUGAAAUGACACAGGGAAUAAGUAUUGAAUACAUGGAGAUAACAAGGGGCAAAAUGACAUAGAAAGCCAGGAGAUCACCUGAAAUCUGUCAGUAUUGAUAGAGAAAUCCUGUCCCCUAUCAGUACUAAUUGAUAUCAGCUGCUUUAGUCCUAAUUGAUGGCCUAUAAAGGCUCCUCAUUACCC